GUGGGGAAUAUUGGGCAAUGGGCGAAAGCCUGACCCAGCAACGCCGCGUGAGGGAAGAAGGUCUUCGGGUUGUAAACCUCUGUCCUAAGUGAAAAGGAAGGAUGGUAGCUUAGGAGGAAGCCCCGGCUAACUACGUGCCAGCAGCCGCGGUAAUACGUAGGGGGCGAGCGUUGUCCGGAAUGAUUGGGCGUAAAGGGCGUGUAGGCGGUCCAUUAAGUCUGGAGUGAAAGUCCCGUUUUCAAGAUGGGAAUUGCUUUGGAUACUGGAGGACUUGAGUGCAGGAGAGGUUAUCGGAAUUCCCGGUGUAGCGGUGAAAUGCGUAGAGAUCGGGAGGAACACCAGUGGCGAAGGCGGGUAACUGGACUGCAACUGACGCUGAGGCGCGAAAGUGUGGGGAGCAAACAGGAUUAGAAACCCCAGUAGUCC
rnacentral:rRNA from 1 species